rnacentral:rRNA from 1 species
AUUGAACGCUGGCGGCAUGCCUUACACAUGCAAGUCGAACGGCAGCACGGGUGCUUGCACCUGGUGGCGAGUGGCGAACGGGUGAGUAAUAUAUCGGAACGUACCUUAUUGUGGGGGAUAACGCAGCGAAAGCUGUGCUAAUACCGCAUAAUCCCUAAGGGGGAAAGCGGGGGACCGUAAGGCCUCGCGCAAUUAGAGCGGCCGAUACCUGAUUAGCUAGUUGGUGAGGUAAAGGCUCACCAAGGCAACGAUCAGUAGCUGGUCUGAGAGGACGAUCAGCCACACUGGGACUGAGACACGGCCCAGACUCCUACGGGAGGCAGCAGUGGGGAAUUUUGGACAAUGGGGGCAACCCUGAUCCAGCAAUGCCGCGUGAGUGAAGAAGGCCUUCGGGUUGUAAAGCUCUUUUGUCAGGGAAGAAACAGCAGCUCUAACACAGUAUGCGAAUGACGGUACCUGAAGAAUAAGCACCGGCUAACUACGUGCCAGCAGCCGCAGUAA